rnacentral:rRNA from 1 species
UAGGGAAUCUUCCACAAUGGACGAAAGUCUGAUGGAGCAACGCCGCGUGAGUGAAGAAGGGUUUCGGCUCGUAAAACUCUGUUGUUAAAGAAGAACAUAUCUGAGAGUAACUGUUCAGGUAUUUGACGGUAUUUAAUCAGAAAGCCACGGCUAACUACGUGCCAC